CAUAAUCCCAGAUUAUUUUCAUUUUUAAACCUGUAGUCUUCAGCCCCAACCAAUGCUGAAUCCAGCGACAUCA